rnacentral:rRNA from 1 species
GAUCCUGGCUCAGAGCGAACGCUAGCGGCGAGCUUAACACAUGCAAGUCGAGCGGAGGGUUUCGGCCCUCAGCGGCGGACGGGUGAGUAACACGUAGGUUACGUGCCCUUUGGUGGGGAAUAACUUAGGGAAACCUGAGCUAAUACCGCAUAUGCCCUUCGGGGUGAAAGUCUUCGGACGCCAGAGGAUCGGCCUGCGGCCCAUUAUUUAAUCCUUGUUGGUGGGGUAACGGCCUACCAAGGGUACGAUGGGUAGCUGGUCUGAGAGGAUGAUCAGCCACACUGGGACUGAGACACGGCCCAGACUCCUACGGGAGGCAGCAGUGGGGAAUAUUGGACAAUGGGGGAAACCCUGAUCCAGCUACGCCGCGUGGGUGAUGAAGGCCUUCGGGUUGUAAAGCCCUGUCGAGGGGGACGAAGUUCUGACGGUACCCCUCAAGAAAGCACCGGCUAACUCCGUG